GCCUUGAUGUGUAGGAUAGGUGGGAGGCUUUGAAGUGUGGACGCCAGUCUGCAUGGAGCCGACCUUGAAAUACCACCCUUUAAUGUUUGAUGUUCUAACGUGGACCCGUAAUCCGGGUUGCGGACAGUGUCUGGUGGGUAGUUUGACUGGGGCGGUCUCCUCCUAAAGAGUAACGGAGGAGCACGAAGGUUGGCUAAUCCUGGUCGGACAUCAGGAGGUUAGUGCAAUGGCAUAAGCCAGCUUGACUGCGAGCGUGACGGCGCGAGCAGGUGCGAAAGCAGGUCAUAGUGAUCCGGUGGUUCUGAAUGGAAGGGCCAUCGCUCAACGGAUAAAAGGUACUCCGGGGAUAACAGGCUGAUACCGCCCAAGAGUUCAUAUCGACGGCGGUGUUUGGCACCUCGAUGUCGGCUCAUCACAUCCUGGGGCUGAAGUAGGUCCCAAGGGUAUGGCUGUUCGCCAUUUAAAGUGGUACGCGAGCUGGGUUUAGAACGUCGUGAGACAGUUCGGUCCCUAUCUGCCGUGGGCGCUGGAGAACUGAGGGGGGCUGCUCCUAGUACGAGAGGACCGGAGUGGACGCAUCACUGGUGUUCGGGUUGUCAUGCCAAUGGCACUGCCCGGUAGCUAAAUGCGGAAGAGAUAAGUGCUGAAAGCAUCUAAGCACGAAACUUGCCCCGA
rnacentral:rRNA from 1 species